GGAAGCUUUUCCCCUUAGCAGCUCCACAGCCCUGUUCAGGGCUCUGCAGGCCAGCCCGGGAGUCCCACAGAGGAAGCAGGAGGCAGUCAAGGCAAGUCUGUGAAGCUGCCUGACUACAAGCAGAAGGCAGCACCUGACAUCCACCCCUCCUCCUCCUGGGAGCUAUGAUCAUCCGCCUCAGGCACUUAACCCCGGGAUACUUCCGCUUGCUCCAGAUGCAGCUGGCCGGGGGGCUGGAGUCCGAACCUAAAGACCGUCUGGUGAAUCACUUGGCUCUAGUCCUGGCUAUCAUGGGGCUAAGUCUGUCCUACUACAGCGUCCGCCAAAUGACCGAGCCGGUUAAAACCCCACCAGAACAGUGAGGCUCAUCCAUGUGGAUGGAGUGCUCUAGAUCUAAGGAGAUUCCAGCAGCUCUGAGGUGGUGGUGGGGACUAGGUCUUGGGUCUGGCAUUCACUCUGUGACAUCAUGCUCCAGUCCUGCUCUCAUACUAGGGUCAGCUACAUCCUCCUCCCUCGGUCUGUAGUGGAAGGUUAGUCGCAGGCUUCCCUCGCACUGCUCUCCUGGACCCAGGCUAAAAGAGUAGCUAGAAGCAUCUCCCAACUUGCUUUGUGCUGGCUUGAAAGGGAUCGCUCGGUACAUGCUCUCUGGGCCAUCCCGCUUUUCCUAGCCUCUCACUGUUGUUGCUGUCCAGGGUCCUUGAGUAAGUGAAGCAAACACACCUGUCACACCCCUUCCAGAGUUUCUCAUGGAGUUACACCAGUUUGGGCCAAUGGAUUUCACUGCGAAGUCCUACCCCAUCCACUGACCACCCCAGCACCUGUCCAUGCUCUGUCCUUCCACUACAUGCAACUAAGCUACUAAAUGAAAGGCUAGACCAUCUCCCUGAAGCUCUACCAGAGCUCAUGACAGAAGGCUGGGGAACCUACUUCCAUAUGGGAGGCCAGAUUCUAAGCUUCAGUGGGAGGUCUCCCACUUUAUACAGAAGUGAGAUCCGACUCGGGCCCUGUGGGAGACAGAAGACAAGACUCAUUCCCACAGGUUGGACAGAUAUAUAUAAAGUACGAUCUGCAGGAACUGAGGCUGAAAGGGUAGAAGGCAUCCUCCCAGGCCAGGGGUAGAAUCCACCUUGGCAGCUUACCAGUCACCCUGGCUUAUGAGACUUCCAGCAAGAGGUUUCCAGACAGCAACUUCCACCUCACUGGCUGCACUUGUGUGUCCCUCUCUAAACCAGUGGGAUGGUAUGACAGGCGGAAUGCGCUGCAUUGACAGCAAGAGAGAAUUUUACACAUGGUUGACUGAGCCCUUUUAUCAUCUCCUCCCCCCGCCCAGCUCAGCCAGGAGCAGUGCAUCAUAGGAUAGCAAAACAAGCUGGAACAAGGUCAUUGCCGAUUGCUGUUAUAUAACAGCGCACACAAUGAGAUGGCUGGGACCUAAAUCAUGCUGUUAAACUACAGAUUAUAAAGGGGGAUUUUCAAGAAGUCCAGACUGGCCGACAUGGACUACUUAAUUGCAGCAAUUGCGUGAGGACACUUUCAUGGAGCAAUUAGUACAUGUCUCUUCCCCCCCCCGCACCAGGGACAGGUACACUUCACCUUCUCAGACAGCAUCAGGCUAAUCUUCACACCCAUCACCUCUCUGAAAACUUCUACCGCUGUGGCCCGCCUGCUAGGUUUAAGCUGCUAACAGGGAAGUCUAGAUGUUAAUACAAGACAUUUCUAAAUUUUGAUCAUCUAUCUCACCCUCCCUUAUACCUGGGGAGGGGAGAACUGAGGAAAUAAUUUGGUGUAUGUUAAAUAAAUCCCUUUAU